AUGAGAAAGGCAAAGAAUAACAAAAGUGAAAUCAGUGAUUUCAAAUAAUUAUCUAAGAGGUGCUUAACAAUAGCUUAUUCCAACAAAGAGCUACACUCGAGGCUAUUAAUAGAGCAAGUAUUUGGAACAAUGAGAUGCAGAGAGCACCCAGCUUCAGCUGAUGGCUCUGAGGAAGACCUCGAUUUUUACAGGUGAUACCAUUUGUGCAGGGAUACUUCCAAUUAUUUAAUAUUUUGUUUUAAGAGUAAAAGAAGAGACAAAGAAGGUAUAUGAUUAUAAUAGCAAGAAAAUAAGCAUCACAGUGAACAUAAGGAAUCUCCCAAGUUCCAAGAAGUGUGUCUGGCAUACAGUAGGCUUUGAUUCUCUGCUGGAUAAGAAGAUCACCUCUGUGGCACCAGCUGCCGGCAAAGCUGCUUGUCGAUGUCCCCACAGAAGCUGCACAGAGGAAACGACUUGGCAAGUGGCUGCAAGACCAGCAGAAUCCCUGGUUGCCCAGUGUCUCCUGCCAUGCGUGUUUUACUCUAAGCAGGCUGCCUUCCGCAACAACCACGUGGAGUGGCCCCUGAAUGACACCUGGAGUGAAAACUUCAUGGAAAGCAACGUCCACCCUCCCUUCUUCUCUCAUUGCUUCUUUCUAUUUGACGUGGCCUUAAGGAAGCUCACGUUAUCCCAUAACAGAAGGCAGUGGUGAUGGUAGGGGUGAGGGUAGGGAUACGCAUGAGAAUCAAUAUUUGUAAAUGAAACAGCGUUGUCCUCUUAGUAUUCUCAGUAAUAGAAUCCGCCUGUUCACCCGAGCUCCUACGCAAAUAUAGGAUCAUCUGAGCGUGGUUUCUCUGUAUCUCUCAACUCUUGACUUGACUUGCUAAUGUGGGAUCAAAUUCUUCAGCAUCAUCUAUUUUGUAAGGAUUUAAUUUCAUAUGUGAAAUCUGGGGAAUGGUGUAAUAUGACA